GUCUUUUUGAUUUUAAUUUAAAGUCAAAUCUGCCCACUGAUUAAUAUUAAAGGGCUGCAGUAUAUUGACUGUACAAAGGUAGCAUAAUAAAUAGUCUUUUAAUUGAAGACUUGUAUGAAAGAUUUGAUGAGAUAUAAACUGUCUCUUUUUUAUAUUUAGAAUUUAAUUUUUUAGUAAAAAAGCUAAAAUUAUUUUAAAAGACGAGAAGACCCUAUAGAGUUUUAUAGUUAAUUUAUUUAUAAAUUUAUAUGUAAAAUUUAAAAUUUAAUUAAUUUAAUUAUUUUGUUGGGGUGAUAGAAAAAUAUAUUAAACUUUUUUUUAAAAAAUUACAUUAAUUAAUGAGUAUAUGAUCCAUAAAUUAUGAUUAAAAGAAAAAAUUACCUUAGGGAUAACAGCGUAAUUUUUUUUUUUAGUUCUUAUAGGAAAAAGAGUUUGCGACCUCGAUGUUGGAUUAAGAUAAAAUUUAAAUGUAGAAGUUUAAAAUUUUUGAUCUGUUCGAUCAUUAAAAUCUUACA
rnacentral:rRNA from 1 species